AUUGGAUCAAUGAUGUACAUUCAAAACUGCGUUAUCUAUCUGAAAUUUCCUCAAUGGAAUUGUAGACUAUCACAAUGUUCUGAGAUCCAAU